UGGGGAAUUUUGGACAAUGGGCGAAAGCCUGAUCCAGCAAUGCCGCGUGUGUGAAGAAGGCCUUCGGGUUGUAAAGCACUUUUGUCCGGAAAGAAAUCCUUGGCUCUAAUACAGUCGGGGGAUGACGGUACCGGAAGAAUAAGCACCGGCUAACUACGUGCCAGCAGCCGCGGUAAUACGUAGGGUGCAAGCGUUAAUCGGAAUUACUGGGCGUAAAGCGUGCGCAGGCGGUUUGCUAAGACCGAUGUGAAAUCCCCGGGCUCAACCUGGGAACUGCAUUGGUGACUGGCAGGCUAGAGUAUGGCAGAGGGGGGUAGAAUUCCACGUGUAGCAGUGAAAUGCGUAGAGAUGUGAGGAAUACCGAUGGCGAAGGCAGCCCCCUGGGCCAAUACUGACGCUCAUGCACGAAAGCGUGGGGAGCAAACAGGAUUAGAUACCCUGGUAGUCCACGCCCUAAACGAUGUCAACUAGUUGUUGGGGAUUCAUUUCCUAGUAACGUAGCUAACGCGUGAAGUUGACCGCCUGGGGAGUACGGUCGCAAGAUUAAAACUCAAA
rnacentral:rRNA from 1 species